rnacentral:piRNA from 1 species
UUGGACAAACCUCCAGAGCCUCUGUGAUAG